CAAGCAAAGCGAAGAGCGUAGGAGGAGAGGAAAGUCCGAACUUCUUUUGAAGAAAUUCAAUGUCAAGGUAGUGGAUAACAUCCACCCUCCAUCUUUUACGAGAAUUGGAGCGGGAAAGUGCCACAGAGACUAUACUAGCCAGCUGAUUCGGCGGGCAAAAGGUGAAAAGUGGUUUGAUGUCAUUUGCACAAUUGACAAAUGGCUACAAACUUCGACUCCCAGUGAUGGGAUGUCGUGGUAAACCCUACCUGAAGAAAGAGCAGUGUUCCUUCGCUAAAGCUAUGGAACAUAAACUACGUUUGCAAUGGUGAGAAAGUACCAGCUUGUGAGCCGUAGCUUUAGCGGAGGUUCAAAAAGUUAGCUCGUUUGAGCCAAUAAGUAAUUAUUGGCCUAGAUAAAUGAUCAUCGACCUAUGCUGAAGCUUCGGUCGACAAGUCCUAGACAACUUGUUUUGCAUGUUUA
rnacentral:RNase_P_RNA from 1 species